AACGCAUCUUGCGCUCCUUGGUAUUCUGAGGAGCAUGCCUGUUUGAGUGUCGUGGUAUUCUCAAUUCCCUUGGUUUCUGCUAAGGUGAUAUUGGACUUGGAGGCUAUUGCUGGUGUCAUUUUUGAAGCCGGCUCCUCUUAAAUGCAUUAGUGUGAACAUUCAUCUCAUGCUUGGUGUGAUAAUUAUCUACGCCAUGUUUGAGUGAUGCAGUUUCAUGCUUCCAAUUGUCAUGAGACAUAACUUUGACUUCUGGCCUCAAAUCAGGUAGGAUUACCCGCUGAACUUAA
rnacentral:misc_RNA from 1 species